rnacentral:lncRNA from 1 species
ACAGUCACAAAUAGAAGAUUUGAUCAUAAAUAUCAACAUUUUUUGAAUUAUAUUCUCCUUCUUCACAAACAGAUUAAUUUUACCUAAAGCCUUAACCUGAAAAUGGUUCCUUAAGGGAGCAUAAGUUAGACAAGGUAUUAUUAUUCGAUCAAUAGCGAUGAAGGAGCCUGAGGUAGUCACUAUAUUUCACAUGGAAAAAUGAACUCAUGGCUAUCCAAAGGAUUAGAGCAGAAACAAAGAAGAAAUCUUGAACCAAUUUCAAGAAAGUUUAUCCUGAUAUUUGAAUCUCCUGCAAGACCUGGGUUGCAGGUGAGUGAACUCAGGACAAGGUCUAUAAUGACAUUUUUAGCUGAAUUUCCAAAUCUUGGUGAUAUGAUUGUCCUCGAAUGACAAGGCACAAUUUGCAAAUGUCCUGUGGUGGGAAUGUGCUGUGUGGCUUCAUCCUGGCAAUUUGAUUCAGCCAAUUAAACAGCCCCUGAUGAGAAACCCUAGGACAGGAAGCCCUGCCAGAACCAUGCCCACCAAUUCUAUAGUUUGCAAUAUUUUCCCCCAAAGGCUCUGUGCAAUUGCUUUUAUAUUGAUCAUUUGAGGCAUGGCCACAGGAAACUGGUUUGAAAACUGAAAUGUCAGAUCAUUUUCCUGAAAACAUACCAGCUUUUUCCUGAUUAAAACACUGUAAGAAAGUAUUUCUUGUAUUAGUACAAAUCCCCCGAGGUAUCUCUUAUUCUAAAUAAUAGGCCUUUUUUAACUACUUGCCUAAAGAUAUCACACUGGUAAUCGGUGGUAAGGAGUGAAUGUACUAGCAUAGCAAGCUAUCAGCCCACCAUCCCCAAACAUGGUCAGCCUAAUAAAUAGGGAUUUUGGUAAUUCCUUCCAUGACUCUCUUGAAUUCUUCUUGGUCUAGUUUAAUCUCUCUGUCUCUUGAUUGGUUAAUUAAGAAACUGAAGAUAAA